GACGAACGCUGGCGGCGUGCUUAACACAUGCAAGUCGAACGGAAAGGCCCUGCUUUUGUGGGGUGCUCGAGUGGCGAACGGGUGAGUAACACGUGAGUAACCUGCCCUUGACUUUGGGAUAACUUCAGGAAACUGGGGCUAAUACAGGAUAGGAGCUCCUGCUGCAUGGGGGGGGUUGGAAAGUUUCGGCGGUUGGGGAUGGACUCGCGGCUUAUCAGCUUGUUGGUGGGGUAGUGGCUUACCAAGGCUUUGACGGGUAGCCGGCCUGAGAGGGUGACCGGCCACCUUGGGACUGCGAUACGGCCCAGACUCCUACGGGAGGCAGCAGUGGGGAAUAUUGCACAAUGGGCGGAAGCCUGAUGCAGCAACGCCGCGUUCGGGAUGACGGCCUUCGGGUUGUAAACCGCUUUCGCCUGUGACGAAGCGUGAGUGACGGUAAUGGGUAAAGAAGCACCGGCUAACUACGUG
rnacentral:rRNA from 1 species